rnacentral:lncRNA from 1 species
CCCCAACAGGUUUUAAAGGAGAGUAAGAGCUGUUGUCACCGAUGAAAUAAGAGCCACCAUCAUAAAACAUGUGAUAAACCAUGGUCUAUCACUGAGAGAUACUGGUGAAAGAGUCCAGCCUAAUCUCAGACGGUCAACCGUGGCUUCCAUUGUCCAGAAUUGUCAACAAACCAACAGAGAGUCAUGGAGUUGGAGGCUAAUCAGACCCCACAUGAAAUCAUUAAUGUAGACGAGGCAGGGUUUAACCUGGCAAAAACAAGUUGGCGGGGAAGAAACGUCAUUGGGAAAAGGACCACCGUUGAUGUGCCAGAUGACCUCCACAAACAACUCGCACCAGAAGCAGAAAGGGAACAGGUGGGAGGAAACAGGAGGACAUUUGUGAUUGCAUGGGACAAUGUAGCAUUCCAUCAUUCACAUGCAAUCACAAACUGGUUUGCAGCCCAUCCAAGAAUGGUUUCCCUUUUCCUCCUCACCUACUCGCCUUUCUGCUUGGAGGUGGAAAGUGUAUGAUCAUCGGCCACAUGACCAAAUGUACCUCCUGGAUGCAAUGGAUGCCGGCUGCAGAGACAUCUCAGCUGAAGACUGCCAGGGGUGGAUAAGGCAUGCCAAGCAUUUCUAUCGAAGGUGCAUAGCGAGAGACGACAUAAGAUGUGAUGUGGACGAGAACAUGUGGCCAAAUGCUGAAGAUCGUAUAGAUUAGAACAGGACUGUGCGUUUUUGUGUUUUUUCCCCUUCUGUGCCUUUUUUACUGUAAUUGUGUUUUAUUUUUACACAUUUGAAACCAAAGGCCAUGUAUAUAGGAUGUUUUGUUGAUCACUG